GACAGAGGUGCCAAGCGUUAGGCGGAAUCACUGGGCUUAAAGCGUGUGUAGGCGGGUGCCUAAGUCUCUUGUGAAAUCCCACGGCUCAACCGUGGAACGGCUGGGUAUACUGGGUGCCUUGGGUCAUCCAGGGGCUGCCGGAACAAAUGGUGGAGCGGUGAAAUGCGUAGAUAUCGUGAGGAACACCAGAGGCGAAGGCGGCUACCUGGACAAUUGCUGACGCUCAGGCACGAAAGCGUGGGGAGCAAAAGGG
rnacentral:rRNA from 1 species